AGAAAUUUAGGUUAACUAAACCAAGGGCCUUCAAAGCCCUAAAAGAAAGUAUUAAACUCUCAAUUUCUG
rnacentral:tRNA from 1 species